rnacentral:rRNA from 1 species
UACAGAGGGUGCGAGCGUUAAUCGGAAUUACUGGGCGUAAAGCGUGCGUAGAUGGUUAUGUAAGUCGGAUGUGAAAGCCCCGGGCUCAACCUGGGAAUUGCAUUCGAGACUGCAUAGCUAGGAUGCGGAAGAGGGAAGCGGAAUUUCCGGUGUAGCGGUGAAAUGCGUAGAUAUCGGAAGGAACAUCAGUGGCGAAAGCGGCUUCCUGGACCAGCACCGACGUUCAGGCACGAAAGCGUGGGGAGCAAACAGG